rnacentral:rRNA from 1 species
AGUGAACGCUGGCGGCAGGCCUAACACAUGCAAGUCGAACGGCCGCACAGUAAGAUCUUUUUCUUACGGGUGGCGAGUGGCUGACGGGUGAGGAAUACAUCGGAAUCUACUUUUUCGUGGGGGAUAACGUAGGGAAACUUACGCUAAUACCGCAUACGACCUUCUGGUUAAUGCAGUGGAUCUUCGUACCUUGCGCGAUUUAAUCAGCUGCUGUCGAAUUAGCUAGUUGAUUGGGUAAAGGCCCACCAAGGCAACGACCCGUAGCUGGUCUGAUAGGAUGAUCGGCAACACUGGAACUGAGACACGGUCAAGACUCCUACGGGAGGCAGAAGUGGGGAAUAUUGGAAAAUGGGCGAAAGCCUGAUCAAGAAAGACCGCGUGGGUGAAGAAGGCCUUCGGGUGGUAAAGCCCUUUUGAUGGGAAAGAAAAGCGGCAGGUUAAAAAGUCGACGUUCUGACGGUACCCAAAGAGUAAGCAACGGCUAACUACGUG